CCUACGGGAGGCAGCAGUGAGGAAUAUUGGUCAAUGGACGAGAGUCUGAACCAGCCACGUAGCGUGAAGGAUGACUGCCCUAUGGGUUGUAAACUUUUUUUAUAUGGGAAUAAAUUGCUGUACGUGUCGGAUUUUGUAUGUACCAUAUGAAUCCGGCUCGGCUAACUCCGUGCCAGCAGCCGCGGUAAUCCGGAGGUUCCGAGCGUUAUCCGGAUUUAUUGGGUGUAAAGGGAGCGUAGGGGGAUUGUUAAGUCAGUUGUGAAAGUUUGCGGCUCAACCGUAAAAUUGCAGUUGAAACUGGGAGUCUGGAGUGCAGUAGAGGUAGGCGGAAUUCGUGGUGUAGCGGUGAAAUGCUUAGAUAUCACGAAGAACUCCGAUUGCGAAGGCAGCUCACUGGACUGCAACUGACGCUGAGGCUCGAAAGUGUGGGUAUCAAACAGGAUUAGAUACCCGGGUAGUC
rnacentral:rRNA from 1 species